rnacentral:rRNA from 1 species
AUGCAGGCUCUGAUGGAUGUUCGGUGCAAGAAUCUAGUGAACCCUGUAUGUGACUGGUUCGGUGAGAUUUAUGAGCCCGCCUCCAGGGAAUUUGUGAUUCCGGGACGUGGAAGACUACCGUUAGACGAGGAAUCCGUGUUCUGCACGUUGGAUGUGCCCCGCGGAGAGAUCAAAGUCCCGUAUGAGGUCAAUAAUACGAUUGAGGAAACAAUGUUUGCCCGUUUGUUUGCUGGGAUGACAUCCAUGCAGAACACGACCGUGCUGGCAAAUUCGCUAGAGGGCAUGAAAACCCAUGGAGAAGUUUUUAAGAUGAAGCUACUCAUGUACCUGAUCUCAGCUGUUUUUGCGCCGACCACAUCUCUUCGCCAAGCAACAAAUGCUUCCCCAUCCUGGCAAAACUGA